CCCUUAGACGUUCUGGGCCGCACGCGCGCUACACUGACCAGUGCAACAAGCAUCCGUCCUUGGCCGACAGGCCCGGGCAAUCUUUGAACGCUGGUCGUGAUGGGGAUAGACUUUUGCAAUUUUUGGUCUUCAACGAGGAAUUCCUAGCAAACGCAAGUCAUCAACUUGCAUUGAUUACGUCCCUGCCCUUUGUACACACCGCCCGUCGCACCUACCGAUUGAAUGGUCCGGUGAAGCCUCCGGAUUGGCGCGCACCUCGGUGCCGCCGAGAAGUUGGCUAAACCUUACCAUUUAGAGGAAGGUGAAGUCGUAACA
rnacentral:rRNA from 1 species